rnacentral:misc_RNA from 1 species
GAUGAAGAACGCAGCGAAAUGCGAUAAGUAAUGUGAAUUGCAGAAUUCAGUGAAUCAUCGAAUCUUUGAACGCACCUUGCGCUCCUUGGUACUCCGAGGAGCAUGCCUGUUUGAGUGUCAUUAAAUUCUCAAUCAUUACAAUUUUGUGUUGAUUGGAAGUGGGAGUUCAUGUAGGAUAACUUUAUUCUACUCUCCUAAAAUACAUUAGCUGGACUGCCUUUGCAAAUCCAACUAUCAGUGUGAUAAUUAUCUAUACUGGAGUUGUUGCAUAAAGGAAAUCUGCUUCUCAACUGUUCUCUAUGGACAAUAUGAACCAUUUUGACCUCAAAUCAGGUAGGACUGCCCGCUGAACUUAAGCAUAUCAAUAAGCGGAGGA